UACGAAGGUGGCAAGCGUUGUUCGGAUUUACUGGGCGUACAGGGCUCGUAGGCGGCCAACUAAGUCAGACGUGAAAUCCCUCGGCUUAACCGGGGAACUGCAUCUGAUACUGGAUGGCUUGAGUUCGGGAGAGGGAUGCGGAAUUCCAGGUGUAGCGGUGAAAUGCGUAGAUAUCUGGAGGAACACCGGUGGCGAAGGCGGCAUCCUGGACCGACACUGACGCUGAGGAGCGAAAGCCAGGGGAGCAAACGGG
rnacentral:rRNA from 1 species